rnacentral:rRNA from 1 species
UAAGCUUGCAUCGUCUUCACUAGUGAUUUCUGUUUGAUCCCGCCGGAGGCUGCUGCUAUUGGGAUUCGAUUAAGCCAUGCGAGUUGAAUGAAUUUAGAUUCAUGGCGUACGGCUCAGUAACACGUGGAUAACUUACCCUUAGGACUGGGAUAACUCUGGGAAACUGGGGAUAAUACCGGAUAUUAGGCUAUGGCUGGAAUGCUUUGCCUUUGAAAUGUUUCUUGUAUUCGCCUAAGGAUAGAUCUGCGGCUGAUUAGGUCGUUGGUGGGGUAAUGGCCCACCAAGCCUAUGAUCGGUACGGGUUGUGAGAGCAAGAGCCCGGAGAUGGAACCUGAGACAAGGUUCCAGACCCUACGGGGUGCAGCAGGCGCGAAACCUCCGCAAUGUACGAAAGUGCGACGGGGGGAUCCCAAGUGUUAUUCUUAAUAGGAUAACUUUUCAUUAGUGUAAAAAGCUUUUAGAAAUAGAGCUGGGGCAGACCGGUGCCAGCCGCCGCGGUAACACCGGCAGCUCAAGUGGUAGCUGUUUUUAUGGGGCCUAAAGCGUCGUAGCCGGUUNNGAUAGUCUUUNGUGAAAGCUAUGGCUUAACUGUAGAAUGCUGA